rnacentral:lncRNA from 1 species
CUGUCGUCACCUAGCCCUAAUUAUUAUCAAAUAAUAUUAAUUUAUUUUACAAGGCGCCACGAUGACGGGCCUCUUAAGAACACAUUAACUUUCUAUUUUAUGGGUAGGGAUAUUUGCCGGCUGACAUGGAGUGCAAUAAAAACUUAACAAAAUAUUUUAAGGGUCUGAAAGUUUCUCACAGCAAAGCAAUCAAACAUGUGCUAAGCAGAACUUACAAGCCGAUGCCAACCGUUAGGGCAAUUAGGACCUUGAGACAAAGGACUCAGUAUUGAAUAGAAGUGCACAUGUGCCAAAUCCCAAAUGGACCCCGACAACGAUACUUAGAACAAUUGAGAAUGUGUACAAAAAGACUAAUAAAUCUAUCUCGUAAAAAAAUAAGCGAAUACGUGAAACAGGACCUUAAGAACAGGGUGGAAGAGCGUCCAGUAAGGUGACGAGCUCUACAGGGUUGCGCGGAUGGCGGGGCGCAACCUCUUCCCCUCCGGGGG